CCCCGAGAAAUCGGGGCUAAUAGCAGAUGAUGCAGCGCUUGACAUCAAGACAGUUGUUAAAGCUUCGGCGCCUGAAGAUGAGCCUGCGUCUGAUUAGCUAGUUGGCGGAGUAUAGCCCACCAAGGCGACGAUCAGUAGCUGGUCUGAGAGGAUGAUCAGCCACACUGGAACUGAGACACGGUCCAGACUCCUACGGGAGGCAGCAGUAGGAAUAUUGCUCAAUGGGAGAAAUCCUGAAGCAGCAACGCCGCGUGAGGGAUGAAGGGCUUUGCUCGUAAACCUCUGUAGUGAGGGAAAAAUUUCCAUUCUAUGGAAUAUGAUGGUACCUCAAAAGUAAGCCCCGGCUAACUACGUG
rnacentral:rRNA from 1 species